rnacentral:lncRNA from 1 species
UUCAAUGUUUAGAAGCACUUAAGUUUCUACACGGCCUUGGACUAAUACAUUGUGACUUGAAGCCGGAGAAUAUUUUGGUUAAAAGCUAUAGCAGAUGUGAGGUGAAAGUCAUUGAUCUUGGAAGUAGUUGUUUUGAGACAGAUCACCUUUGCUCGUAUGUUCAGUCCAGGUCAUAUCGUGCUCCUGAGGUUAUUUUGGGACUUCCAUAUGACAAGAAGAUUGAUAUCUGGUCCCUUGGAUGCAUCUUGGCAGAACUUUGUACUGGCAAUGUAAGAUCAAGAAAUGGUGAAUUUAACUUAUUUCAAAGUGGCAUUAAGUUUUUCAAACAUUAACAUGUAAAGAUUCAUAUCAGAUUUAAGGUUUCAAAUGUUUUUUACUACAUUAGGUCAAGGUAUUUGACCUGAAAUUCACCACUUAAUCCUUUUUAAGCAAUGACUAUCUUGAUGACUGCAUAUAUUUGAUGCUGAAAGAUAAUCGGAUUUGCUGUGUUAUAUCAUAUUCUUAUAUAAACUUGCUGAAGUAUCUUUUAGAUGUGAAAAUGAUUUGAUACAUCAGGUACAGUAAUUUUAUUUAUAGUUGUAUGUUCUUUGCAGUUAUACUAUUAUAAUUAUUUUUUGGGUGAAAGCUUUUAAGCUAUUAAGGAGUUGCCUCUGUUCUAUUAAACUGCUUUAUUCUUUUUUGUUAAAUAAAUGCUUAAUUUCUCUUUCAUCAGUGAUGCUCAACUAAGCAUGUUGUAGGUCCUUUUCCAAAAUGAUUCACCUGCCACAUUACUUGCUCGGGUGAUUGGGAUCAUUGGUCCAAUUGAUCAAAGUUUGCUUGCAAAAGGACGGGAUACAUAUAAGUACUUCACAAAAAAUCAUAUGCUUUAUGAACGGAAUCAGGUGAGACACUGAGAAUUUUAUUUUCAAAUUUCUUAGCUUAUGAAACUAUCCAAAGUCUUGUUGUAUAAUGUGAGAUGUAUCUUUUCAUUUACAUCUCUUCAAAACUGCUGAGAGCUUCCUAAAAUUGCUAAAUUGAGUAUUUUUGUCAUAUAUUUUUGCAAGACCGGCAAGUUACUUACUACAUUCACUCACUCCACGAAAUAUCAUAAUUAUUGCCUGUUAAAAUAAAAUUGUUUCCAUUUCCUUACUUUCUUGAAAUAGUUGAUGAUAUGAUGCUAUUUAUUAACAUGCAGGAAAGCAACCGGUUAGAAUACCUGAUCCCAAAAAAGACAUCAUUGAGGCAUAGAUUGCCGAUGGGUGACCAAGGCUUCAUUGACUUUGUUAAUCAUUUGCUCGAGGUUAAUCCGAAGAAGCGGCCUUCUGCAUCUGAGGCCCUGAAGCACCCAUGGUUAUCAUACCCUUAUGAACCAAUAUCAUCUUGAAGUUGUGGGGGGGUUUUCUCUUGGUGAUAAUGUCAAUAUUGCCCUAGUCGGUUCGGAACAUCGCUGAAAGGGAAGGUGCCACCUUUGCAUCCUUGCUGCUUUUCAUUAUCAAUUUUAAGGAUAACAUGGAAAGUGUUCUUCCCCUUCAUAUUACUGCAUAAUCCAUUGAAAGUUGCUUGGUUUUGUGGGUAAUGGUUGUCUUUUCCUCCCCUGCAUGAUGAUCAAUGAUGUAAUUUAGAACAUAUGAUGUAAUGUUAGGCUGUUGAUUUCUUUGCUUUGUUUGGUUAGAAUCUUGGCUGUACAUGAUGUGGGAUCAAUUCUUUUAGUCUAUUUAGUAGCAUUUUCUGUAGUAUCUACUUUUCAGAUUAUGCAUGGUGUUCAUGCUAAUGUUGGAAGUACCAGUUAAAGCAAGUUGGUGACACAAGACAUGCUGAACACAGAUGGGACUUGAGAUGCAAAUUUGAAGCAACUAAAUUGUAUCUUUGAUGGUGUAAUGGAGCAUCAUUUGGUUUAUUGUAGUACUUUGGAUAUGGUAGCCAAUGCGGUUUUGAAAAAAGUGUGGUCUGUGGGUGGCAUCUUUGGCAUGUGGUUACAAAUUAUUCGAGUGCCUCUUGGCAACAAGAAUUUCUAGUUUUGCUUUUUCUCUCUUCUCUUGAUUCUUUAAUCAAGUUAUUUUAUGUUCUUGAUUAACGUUAUUUUCCAUGUAAAUAUUAUCUUCACUAUUUCAUAUUUCAUGUCUACUUGGUCAUUGCACAAUCAUGGCAGACUUAAGGUGCAUUUAGAACUUAAUUAAUCUAAACUACCAAAGCUCCAUAUUAGUGCACCAACAAAAACAUUGUUAGCAGAUAGUUUUUUUUUUGAUAAGCAUUGUUAGCAGAUAGUUUGACAAGGGUUAAUUCUGGGUGUUGCAUGUGGAAAAAGUUGUUGGAUAAAAUAAAAUUAACUUCCGUUUGCUAGGGGAUAUUCUUCGUACACCAAAAUUGAUUACAAUUCUUUCAGAACUAGUUAACUAUACUUGAUUUAUUUAUUUAUCUUUAAUGGUUGAUAUUGACAAUAACUUGAACUUGCCAAUAUAGACUCAAUUAGUAGUCUUACCAUUCGUUAACAAAAUGCGAAGUUUUAUUCUUGACGUUGUCUGUCUUCCCAAAAUUAUGAUUCUCAUACGAAAUCACAGUACACUGCAAACUAGAAUGCAUACGGUAGGGUAAUAUAACUUGAUAAGCUACCUUAUUCUAGUUUGCGGUUGUCAGUUAUUAAGGUAGUUUAAUAUAACUUGAUAAGCUACCUUAUUCUAAUUUGCGGUAGUUAGUUAUUUAGGCCCCGUUUGGAGUGAGUUUACUUUGUUAUGGUUUUCAAUUUAAAAAAAAACUAGCAACUUUGUAAAUUUGCAAAAGUCAUCCUUGUAGUAAUACAUCUUCUACCAAUAUUACCUCCACUUGUGGCGACCAUUGUAGAAUGCUGGUAUCGAUGGAGGGUGUUGUGUUAAUAAUGUAUAGCAGCAGUGGUGGCAUAGAAUAUUAAGUAGCAAUGGCGAUGGUGGUGAAUGUUACUUGGUGGCAGCAGCGAUGGGGUCCAUUCAAUGUUUAGAAGCACUUAAGUUUCUACACGGCCUUGGACUAAUACAUUGUGACUUGAAGCCGGAGAAUAUUUUGGUUAAAAGCUAUAGCAGAUGUGAGGUGAAAGUCAUUGAUCUUGGAAGUAGUUGUUUUGAGACAGAUCACCUUUGCUCGUAUGUUCAGUCCAGGUCAUAUCGUGCUCCUGAGGUUAUUUUGGGACUUCCAUAUGACAA